rnacentral:rRNA from 1 species
GCGCGAAACCUUUACACUGCGCGAGAGCGCGAUAGGGGGAUCCCAAGUGCGAGGGCAUACAGUCCUCGCUUUUGCCGACCGUAAGGUGGUCGGCGAAUAAGAGCUGGGCAAGACCGGUGCCAGCCGCCGCGGUAAUACCGGCAGCUCGAGUGAUGGCCGAUCUUAUUGGGCCUAAAGCGUCCGUAGCCGGCCGGACAGGUCCGUCGGGAAAUCCACCCGCUCAACGGGUGGGCGUCCGGCGGAAACCAGUCGGCUUGGGACCGAGCGACCCGAGGGGUACGUCCGGGGUAGGAGUGAAAUCCCGUAAUCCCGGACGGACCACCGGUGGCGAAAGCGCCUCGGGAGAGCGGAUCCGACGGUGAGGGACGAAAGCUAGGGUCUCGAACCGGAUUAGAUACCCCCGUAGUCC